rnacentral:rRNA from 1 species
GAUGAACGCUAGCGAUAGGCUUAACACAUGCAAGUCGAGGGGCAGCACAAGGUAGCUUGCUAUCUGGGUGGCGACCGGCGCACGGGUGCGUAACGCGUAUGCAACUUGCCCUAUACAGGAGGAUAACCCGUCGAAAGACGGACUAAUACUGCGUAUGCUCACAACUUGGCAUCAAGUGGUGAGGAAAGAAAUUCGGUAUAGGAUAGGCAUGCGUCCCAUUAGCCUGUUGGUGAGGUAACGGCUCACCAGGGCAACGAUGGGUAGGGGAACUGAGAGGUUUAUCCCCCACACUGGUACUGAGACACGGACCAGACUCCUACGGGAGGCAGCAGUGAGGAAUAUUGGUCAAUGGGCGCGAGCCUGAACCAGCCAAGUCGCGUGAAGGAUGACUGUCUUAUGGAUUGUAAACUUCUUUUAUACGGGAAUAACAAGAGUCACGUGUGACUCCCUGCAUGUACCGUAUGAAUAAGCAUCGGCUAACUCCGUG